CCUACGGGGGGCUGCAGUCGAGAAUCUUCCGCAAUGGGCGAAAGCCUGACGGAGCGACGCCGCGUGGAGGACGAAGGCCUUCGGGUUGUAAACUCCUGUCACGGGUUAUGAAUGGUGCAGGAUGAACAAUGCUGCAUUUGACGUAAGCCCGAGAGGAAGCACUGGCUAACUCUGUGCCAGCAGCCGCGGUAAUACAGAGAGUGCGAACGUUGUUCGGAAUUACUGGGCUUAAAGCGCACGUAGGCGGCGCCGCAAGUGCGGGGUGAAAUCCCACGGCUUACCCGUGGAACUGCCCUGCAGACUGCGGUGCUCGAGGAUGGUAGGGGAGAGCGGAACUCCUGGUGGAGCGGUGAAAUGCGUAGAUAUCAGGAGGAACACCAGUGGCGAAGGCGGCUCUCUGGUCCAUGACUGACGCUGAGGUGCGAAAGCCAGGGGAGCAAACGGGAUUAGAUACCCCUGUAGUC
rnacentral:rRNA from 1 species